rnacentral:rRNA from 1 species
UACGUAGGGGGCUAGCGUUGUCCGGAUUUAUUGGGCGUAAAGAGCGUGUAGGCGGCCAUGUAGGUCCGGUGUGAAAACUCGAGGCUUAACCUCGAGAUGUCAUCGGAAACCAUUUGGCUAGAGUCCGGAAGAGGAGAGUGGAAUUCCUGGUGUAGCGGUGAAAUGCGCAGAUAUCAGGAGGAACACCGGUGGCGAAGGCGGUUCUCUGGGCAUUACCUGACGCUGAGGAGCGAAAGUGUGGGGAGCGAACAGG